rnacentral:rRNA from 1 species
AACGAACGCUGACGGUAUGCCUAAUACAUGCAAGUCGUACGAGAAAGCUCUUCGGAGUGAGUACAGUGGCGCACGGGUGAGUAACACGUAGGUUACCUGCCCAUCAGUGGGGGACAACAUCGGGAAACUGAUGCUAAUACCGCAUAAGCACGCAAGUGGAAAGGUGGCUUCGGCUACCGCUGAUGGAGGGGCCUGCGGAACAUUAGCUUGUUGGUGGGGUAAUGGCCUACCAAGGCGAUGAUGUUUAGCUGGUCUGAGAGGAUGAUCAGCCACACUGGAACUGAGACACGGUCCAG